AUCAUUUUGUGGAUCAUAAAUGUGAUGAUUGGGUUUUCACACUAUUGUGUGUGAGAAGUGUCUCCCUCAAACCUUGUUACAGUGUUGACGCCUUUGUCAUCUGAUG
ensembl:snoRNA